CAGCGCGGGAGUAGCAAUACUUCUGGCGGCGACCGGCAGAAGGGUGCGUAACGCGUGAACAACAUGCCCGUAACAAGAGGAUAACCCGGUGGAAACGUCGUCUAAUACUCUAUAUGAAUAUUUAUCGCAUGGUAAAUAUUUAAAAUUUUCGGAGGUUACGGAUUGGUUCGCGUCCCAUUAGGUAGACGGAGAGGUAACGGCUCACCGUGCCGACGAUGGGUAGGGGUUCUGAGAGGAAGGUCCCCCACAAUGGAACUGAGACACGGUCCAUACUCCUACGGGAGGCAGCAGUGAGGAAUAUUGGUCAAUGGGCGGAAGCCUGAACCAGCCAUGCCGCGUGCAGGAAGGAGGCCCUAUGGGUCGUAAACUGCUUUUGCCGCAGAGCAAUAAGAGAUACGAGAUAUCUUGAUGAGAGUAUGCGGUGAAUAAGCAUCGGCUAACUCCGUGCCAGCAGCCGCGGUAAUACGGAGGAUGCGAGCGUUAUCCGGAUUUAUUGGGUUUAAAGGGUGCGUAGGCGGCGUCACAAGUCAGGGGUGAAAAGCUAGUGCUUAACACUGGUCUUGCCUUUGAUACUGUGGUGCUAGAGUGCUCCUGCCGCAGGAGGAAUGAGUGGUGUAGCGGUGAAAUGCAUAGAUAUCACUCAGAACACCGAUUGCGAAGGCAUCUUGCGAAGGGGCGACUGACGCUGAGGCACGAAAGCGUGGGGAUCGAACAGGAUUAGAUACCCUGGUAGUCCACGCUGUAAACGAUGAUGACUAACCGCCGGCGAUAGAUGGUUCGGUGGCCAAGCGAAAGCGAUAAGUCAUCCACCUGGGGAGUACGACCGCAAGGUUGAAACUCAAAGGAAUUGACGGGGGCCCGCACAAGCGGAGGAACAUGUGGUUUAAUUCGAUGAUACGCGAGGAACCUUACCCGGGCUCGAACGGCUAGUGAACGGAGCAGAGAUGCCGAGGUCUCUUCGGGACGCUAGUCGAGGUGCUGCAUGGUUGUCGUCAGCUCGUGCCGUGAGGUGUCGGCUUAAGUGCCAUAACGAGCGCAACCCUUGUUGUUAGUUACCAUCAAGUAAAGUUGGGGACUCUAGCGAGACUGCCACCGCAAGGUGAGAGGAAGGGGGGGAUGACGUCAAAUCAGCACGGCCCUUACGUCCGGGGCGACACACGUGUUACAAUGGCGGUUACAGAGGGGGGCUACCUAGUGAUAGGGUGCUGAUCUUAAAAAACCGUCUCAGUUCGGAUCGGAGUCUGCAACUCGACUCCGUGAAGCUGGAUUCGCUAGUAAUCGCGCAUCAGCCAUGGCGCGGUGAAUACGUUCCCGGGCCUUGUACACACCGCCCGUCAAGCCAUGGAAGCUUGGG
rnacentral:rRNA from 1 species